rnacentral:lncRNA from 12 species
CCCCCCCCCCCCCCCCCCCCCCCCCCCCCCCCCCCCCCCCCCCCCCCCCCCCCCCCCCCCCCCCCUGGGCCGCGGCGGCGCGUGAGCUGGCGGAGAUCUCGCGAGAUUUGGGGGGGGCGGGAGGAUCGUGAGGGACCGGGACAAACCGGGACAAAUCGAGAUAAACUGUGAGGAAUCGCGACAAACCGUGAGGGAACUCUGUGCCGACCGUGCCUUGAGGGGCAGCCAAACUCUGUCUCUGACACAGAUCUGCCCUGUCCUAAACCCUCGCAUGUGCCUCGUCAACUCCAUUCCACCAGGACGCCCCUGGCAGUGCAAUCCCAGGGAUCAUCCAGGGACAUUCCAGUGAAUCCUGAGCUGCUCCCUCAGCACAGCAAGAUUUUCUCCUGCCAUCCUGGAGCUGCUUCAAGCCAAAGUCUGUGCCCUGCUCUCCCAAUUCCCAGCGUUCCUGGCUCCAGGACACACUGAGGGGUGACUCAUGCUGCCUCAAGACUUUUUUCCUGUAAAAAAAUUCCCUUUUCCUUAGGAGUGACUCCAUUUUUUUUUUUUUUUGCCUCCUCAUUGUCCUUCUGGUGGCCCAAUUUGCAGC